CCUACGGGCGGCAGCAGUGGGGGAUAUUGCACAAUGGGGGAAACCCUGAUGCAGCGACGCCGCGUGUGGGAAGACGGUCCUCUGGAUUGUAAACCACUGUCCCCAGGGACGAAAAUGACGGUACCUGGGGAGGAAGCUCCGGCGAACUACGUGCCAGCAGCCGCGGUAAUACGUAGGGAGCGAGCGUUGUCCGGAAUUACUGGGUGUAAAGGGAGCGUAGGCGGGGGUGCAAGUUGGGUGUCAAAACUACCGGCUCAACUGGUAGUCGCACUCAAAACUGCAGCUAUUGAGUGAAGUAGAGGCAGGCGGAAUGCCUAGUGUAGCGGGGAAAUGCGUAGAUAUGAGGAGGAACACCAGUGGCGAAGGCGGCCUGCUGGGCUUUUACUGACGCUGAGGCUCGAAAGUGUGGGGAGCAAACAGGAUUAGAUACCCGAGUAGUC
rnacentral:rRNA from 1 species